AGAAUAUUGGUCAAUAGCCUAACGGCUGAACCAGUGAUUUGGAUGAAUGAAAGGUGCGAACCAUACGUGAUCAAAAAAAUUAAGAUUACGGUAGUAACUACGUUACAUAAAAUUCUAGGUAAGUUUUUGAUUAUGACAUAAUUUAUCUAAGAGUCUUGACCAAGUCUCGUGCCAGCAGUCGCGGUAACACGGGGAAGACCAGUGUUAUUCAUAUUUACCAGGUUUAAAGGGUACCUAGACAGUUAAUCAAGCCUAAAUAAGGGACUAAUUAAACUAGAGUUUGAUAGAAGAAGGCUAGAAAGGUGAGUGUAGAGAUAAAAUAUGUUGAUACCACUUGGAAACUGGCAAGGGCGAAAGCAACCUUUUAUGUAAAAACUGACGUUAAGGGACGAAGGCUCAGCGUAAAAAACAGGAUUAGAUACCCCAGUAUUGAGAGCAGACAAUUAUGAGUGUCAUAUAUAAGUAUAAUAUUUAUGUAUAAAUGAAAGUGUAAGCACUCCACCUUAAGAGUAACAUGGCAACAUAGGAACUGAAAUCAUUAGACCGUUUCUGAAACCAGUAGUGAAGUAUGUUGUUUAAUUAGAUAAUCCACAAAGAACCUUACCGCGAUUUGAAUAUAAGUUUACAGGAGUUGCACGGCUGUCUUCAGUUGAUAUCGUGAGAUUUUGGUUAAUUCCAUUGAAUCAACGUAAACCCUAACUUUAUUUUUUAUAUAAAGUAUUAAGGCUGAGUGUUAUUAUUUAGCCAAAGUAAUUGGGACUAAGACAAGUCAUCAUGACCUAAAUAUCGCGGGC
rnacentral:rRNA from 1 species